UCUAUGUUGUUAGGUUACCAGGUUAGGCUAACCAGACAUCUUUUCAAUACAGGUACAGUGUGUGGGCGCCCUUACGUUCGAUAUCUCCUGACCACCCCUGCAUCUCGCUGCAAAGGUUACAGCGUGAUCUCCCCACAAAUUGAUUAAAGGAGUGUCUCACUCAGUCACAGUAUAGUGCAAACAAUCCAGCACCCUUCAAUAGGAAAGAGCCAGUCAGGUCUAGGUCCGUGCGUUCCUGGAUCCAUUUUAACAUGGCUGUAUUACGGAGAGUAGCUGUUCUGACCGGCAGGUGUUAUUACCGCACUUCAUUUGCAAGCCUCUCUGUUUCAGACCCUUGAAGUUAUGGUAAAGGAACUGAAAGACUCGCAGAGCCCUGAGGGUGAUUUGUUGUUAAGGAAACCAGGCAGGAGCGUGUUACAAGGCAUCAGUUCACUCCGAGCGCCUGUCCUCUGCUGCGCGCUAGAAGAGCGGGUAAUGGAUCAGACCGGGGCCCAGGAGACCUCUGCCUGAAUCAAACCGUUCAAUACGUGCCAACACAGGCUCCUCUGCCUCCGAGCAGCAAACAGAGGAAAGAGCCGUAUAGACAGACACCUGAUUUAAAACUUCAGCACUGCACAUACACUCACCCUUGGAUGUAUUAGCAUAUAACAUAGACAUAUUCUUUUACUCAGAAAAGAAAAACUCACCAUUGGACUGGCCUGAUUGAUUCGCUGUGUUUGUGUGUAAGAGGUUGCUGUGCUAACAUGGUUUUGUUCCUUAGCCACAGAGGUUUCGUAUCCGUCACUGUCCCGUUAAGACUGCCUGCAAAUUAGUCUCUGCCAUGCUUUUCUUUCCAGGAUGCAAAAUAAAGGAGUUACAAAUGAUGAAGCGCAGAUGUAAACAGAAGUGUGUUUGCCCUGUUUAGGACUAAUUUAAGUCCUCCCUGAAUUUGAUUACUACUAAGUAGAUUGAUAACUGUUGUAAUAUCAGUGUGGUUAGCUAAUUCACUCU